GCUUAGCUAACAAUACCGCACAAGUCAUAUUUUAGCCAAAUGACGUUUUUUACACCAUUCGAUAGAUUACUUUCCCGCGCGUCUGAUGAGCUCUCGCUAGAGGUAAUAUCGUCCAAUAAGAGCGCGUUAUUCAAAAACUAGUAACACAACACAACUCAUUGGCUGCGCUAACACCGCGCAAGUCGUCAUAACGCCAUAGUAAUUUUGCCGUGCCACGUCGCACCUUAUAAGAUCGUUUGUCGUUUUUAAAAAAAGCGCAUUUUUUGUAACGGACUGGCCGCACUGAUGUAGUUUAAAGGUAAGGUAACUUAAAUAAAACAUAGUAUUCAUAUUUUAUCUAUUAAAAUACGUCAUACGAUUGCAAUUAAAAACAUGAAUACUUAAGCGGUGUUGGAAUGAACAGUUUCGUUGAGUUAGGCGGUUUUCUCUUUGCUUGUUUUCGAUGUCUGAAUGACUUACGCUGUACUUCUGUGUUGAGUUUCUGACUGCUGCGGUAUUCAUCGAUAUAAUUAGCAAUUUUUACGCAGUUUUUUUAAUGAUUACUUUAUCGUAAUUACAUUAUAUUUUACUUCAGAACACGAAAAUGGACAAAUUGGUCGAUAAUGAUACCACGCCUGAUGACUUUUCAAGAGUUGACGCUCAAUGUAAAGUUAUUACUUUACGUGACUUACAAAAGAGACAUAGAGAAAAAAUGUUAUUAAAUACAUUGGGUAUUAAAGAAUGGUUUGUCCGAUACUGGUUGAUAACGACAGAUUGUGCUAUGCCACCGCCUUCUGAGAUUUCUCGGAAUGUAGAUUGCUCCAAAAAGAACUCUGAUGGUCACGAGCGUCUACAGCAAUUUUUAGAUAGCCUGCCGAAGAUGCCAUCGCACUACUGUCGAGCAAACUCAUCCAUGCAUGCAUCCAUGGCACAAUUAUACAAAGAAUACGUCAGUAAAUGCGAAUUGGAUUCCUUAAAAUGUCUUAGUCGUAGGGUUUUUGACAAUGUAUUCUUAAAACAGAAUCUUAGUCUGUUUCAUCCCAAAAAAGAUCAAUGCGAUGUAUGCUGUGGACAUAAAGUUGGAAAUAUAAACGAUACUGAAAUUGCAAUACAUCGCGAUAGGAAAGACAAAGCUAGAGAAGAAAAAGACACUGACAAAAAAUUGUCAAUAGAAGGAAAAACGUGUCAUGUAUUUAUGCAAGAUGUUCGAUCAGUAAAAUUAGCUCCCUACCUUCAGGCUAGUGCCAUAUACUACAAGACAUUUUAUCUGUUCACAAUUUUACCAUGUACAAUUUGUCAACACGUGAAGCUUGCUGCUACUGGUUCGAUGAAUCAAAUGGCUCCCUUGAAGCUUCUGUUUUCGCAUCGUGCACUGUGGAUCAACUACAGAUAAUUUUAAAUAGAAAAUUACUACCGCCGUUGCCUCAGCGUCCAAUGAAAAUUACCAAUGUAAAACCUUUAGAAGAGCUGCCGAAAAUAUUUUCUGAAAGACUGCCAAUUUCCCAAAGAAAAUAUAAGUAUCUCCAAGAUUUAAAGGGAGUGAUACCUUCGAACUGCCACGCAUAUUAUGAUGAGUUAUCUUAUAAAAAUUAAAUAUUUUUCAUUAUUAAAUCCAUAAUCAUUUUGUAUUAUUUUAGGAGUAGGUUAAGUAUUCGAAGUGUUUAUAUUGUCUUGUAUUGUUUGUGUUAAAUGUACCAUUUUUAUUAAAGUAUUUGAGAGUUUAGAAUUAUAAGAAGUCAUGGAAAAAAUUAACUAAAUUACAAAGCAAACCACCUCUGGUUUCCAUUGUAACUUUAUCUAAGUUAUUAUUUUAUUGAUCUCAGUAGGUAAGUAGUUGAUUUCGUCAAACAGUACAGUCGUAAAAGUCAGUGAGUUCCUAUAAUAUAUUAUAAUAUUAGCGAACCCGGCAAGGGUUGUCCUGUUGGAAUAAGAAAAUAAAACGGCAAAGAAA